UACGGGGGGGGCAAGCGUUGUUCGGAAUUACUGGGCGUACAGGGCCAGUAGGCGGCCAACUAAGUCCGACGUGAAAUCCCAAGGCUUAACCUUGGAACUGCGUCGGAUACUGGAUGGCUUGAAUUCGGGAGAGGGAUGCAGAAUUCCAGGUGUAGCGGUGAAAUGCGUAGAUAUCAGGAGGAACACCGGUGGCGAAGGCGGGUCUCUGGGCCGAUACUGACGCUGAGGAGCGAAAGCGUGGGGAGCGAACAGG
rnacentral:rRNA from 1 species